rnacentral:lncRNA from 1 species
GCUAGAGGCCCGUGUACUGUGCGAUGUCAGUGCAGGUUAAAGAACACCAGAUGGUCGAAAUUCAUGGAGCCCUCCACUACGGCGUGCCUCAUAAUCAUAUCAUGGUUCUAGCAAGUAAAACCACAGAUAUCAUUAUUAAUAAAGGAGACAAAUAAAAGACGCCGUGCAUCUGCUACACAAAGUGUAAAACAGUAUUGGAAACACUCAAUAAUAAGUGCAUGCAAUUGGGCAUGCGAGAAAACCUGCAGAUACAGAAAAAAAAACUGCAGAU